CCCUCAAAUUUAUUUUUAAUUUAGCACUUCUCAUAGCCAUUAUCCUAACACAUAGGAAAUGAACAAAUUUUAGUGCUAACAUAACUAACAAGUAACUUGUUUUUUACCCAUAUGAACCUUCUUCAUGGGAUCUCCAAUCACAAAGGUUGGGUUCCCAUUACUUGUCGUUUUUCAGUGGCAUAGUCCAUUCCUAUCAAUUUUCUUCCCAGGGGUUAAGUCAACGGAUCCGAUCAAUUCACUAAUAUUGACUAAGACGUCUCAAAGUCAAUUCAUCUCACAAUUUCAUGAGUCUAUAAAGUAAACUCGAU
rnacentral:lncRNA from 1 species